UCCCUGGUGGUUCAGUUGGUAAAGCAUCUGCCUGCAGUGCAGGAGACACAGGUUCGAUCCCUGGGUCGGGAA
rnacentral:tRNA from 1 species